rnacentral:rRNA from 1 species
GACGAACGCUGGCGGCGUGCUUAACACAUGCAAGUCGAACGGAAAGGCCCUGCUUUUGUGGGGUGCUCGAGUGGCGAACGGGUGAGUAACACGUGAGUAACCUGCCCUUGACUUUGGGAUAACUUCAGGAAACUGGGGCUAAUACCGGAUAGGAGCUCCUGCUGCAUGGUGGGGGUUGGAAAGUUUCGGCGGUUGGGGAUGGACUCGCGGCUUAUCAGCUUGUUGGUGGGGUAGUGGCUUGCCAAGGCUUGGACGGGUAGCCGGCCUGAGAGGGUGACCGGCCACAUUGGGACUGAGAUACGGCCCAGACUCCUACGGGAGGCAGCAGUGGGGAAUAUUGCACAAUGGGCGGAAGCCUGAUGCAGCAACGCCGCGUGCGGGAUGACGGCCUUCGGGUUGUAAACCGCUUUCGCCUGUGACGAAGCGUGAGUGACGGUAAUGGGUAAAGAAGCACCGGCUAACUACGUG